CCCAAGCCCAGUCUCCUCCAAUAUGUCUGUGCACCUACGUUUGAUUGCGGAACAGAGAAGCAGAUAUGAGGUUUUUAGUUGUUUUGUGUGGAACACUUCAAAGAUAGCCUUUUCUGGACAAGUAAUACUUUUGCAAGAGAAAUAUAGCUUUAAAGUCUUCAAAUGGAACGUAGACCCCAGUUCUGUAGGCAAUACCAACUAUGAUUGCCUUGUUUCUACGAUUGUUGAAAGCCGUGUUAUUAUCUGUAUGUCUUCCACUUGAGCUGCUGUGACUACCGACUGAGUGCAGUAGGAGUCGCUAAUAUUACGCAACUUUAUGACUACGUAACGUUAUGACUAUAACUGACGUUCCAGUGGCACAGUUCUACCAUGGGGCAUAGAGAAAAUGCUAUUUUACACAUUUUGCCAUGAGGCUGAGAGAAAAGGUAGCUGUUUUAGAGCUACUUUCCUGCUACUCUCCACAGUCUGAGAGCAACCCAAAAAAAUGUCUUAUGAUAUGUUAUCUGGGGGGCCCGACCUCCGGGGGGAACCCAAACCCUCCCAAAAUAAACACCUGCACACAGGCAGGUAUAUACGCACACACACAGACACACGCACCAGUCUUAUUUUUGUAAAAUAAUUAUAAUAAUGCAGUAUAUAUUUAAGUGAUAAUGCUCGAGAAGCCGGUGUUUGGAGGAUAUAUUGGCACGGGUGUUGUUAGGCCCGAGAUUAACUCAUCCCAAACCAUCUAAAUUGGGUUGAGGUUGGGUGAUUGUGGGGGCCAUCUGAUGCAGCACUCCAUCUCUCUACUUGGUCAAAAUUGCCCUUACACAGCCUGGAGGUGUAUUAUGGGUCAUUGUCAUGAUGAAAAACAAAUGAUAGCCCCAAGAAGUGCAAACCAGAUGCAGAAUGCGGUGGUAGCCGUGCUGGUUAAGUGUGCCUUGAAUUCGAAAUAAAUCACUGACAGUGUCACCAGCAAAGCACCCCCACACCAUCACACCUCCUCCAUGCUUCACGGUGGGAAAUACACAUGCAGAGAUAAUCCGUUCACCUUCUCUGUGUCUUACAAAGACACAGCGGUUGGAACUAAAAAUCUCAAAUUUGGACUCAUCAGACCAACGGACAGAUUUCCACAUAUCUAAUGUCCAUUGCUUGUGUUUCUUGGCCCAAGAAACUUUUUACUGGGGUCCUUUAGUAGUGGUUUCUUUGCAGCAAUUCGGCCAUGAAGGCCUGAUUCACACAGUCUCCUCUGAACAGUUGAUGUUGAAAUGUGUCUGUUACUUAAACUCUGUGAAGCAUUUAUUUGGGCUGCAAUUUCUGAGGUGCAGUAAACUCUAAUGAACUUAUCCUCUGGGUCUUCCUUUCCUGUGGCGGUCCUCAUGAGAGCCAGCUUGCAGGGUUUUUGCGACCGCACUUUCUUUAAAUUUUCCGGAUUGCCUGACCUUCAUGUCUUAAUUAAAGUAAUGAUGGACUGUCAUUUCUUUUUGCUUAUUUGAGCUGUUCUUGCCAUAAUAUGGACUUAGUCUUUUACCAAAUAGGGCUAUCUUUUGUAUACCAACCCUACCUUGUCACAACACAACUGAUUGGCUCAAGCAAUCUAGCAAGCAAGAAGAGGACUUGAUGGAAACAGCUCAUUGUUUUUAAUUAUUUUGUUUUAAGCCUUCCCCAAACCAUAGCCCUAACUUGAAUCACCUCCCGAAUGAAUACCUAACCUGAACCACCUCCUGAAUGAAUACCUAACCUUAACCACCCCCCGAAUGAAUACCUAACCUGAACCACCUCCUGAAUGAAUACCUAAACUUAACCACCCCCCGAAUGAAUACCUAACCUUAACCACCUCCCGAAUGAAUACCUAACCUUAACCACCUCCCGAAUGAAUACCUAAACUUAACCCUAUGAGUGGUUUCUGUUUAAACCCUGUAACUGUAAAUAUUUAAAUCUGAGAUGUCAUUAGGAAUCUGAGCAUGGUACUUUCAAAAGUUAGGCUUACCUUUCCACCCCAGACAGAGUAAGCCUACCUUCCCACCCCAGACAGAGUAAGCCCACCUUUCCACCCCAGACAGAGUAAGCCUCCCUUUCCACCCCAGACAGAGUAGGCUUACCUUUCCACCCCAGACAGAGUAGGCCUACCUUUCCACCCCAGACAGAGUAGGCCUACCUUUCCACCCCAGACAGAGUAAGCCUACCUUUCCCCCUAGACAGAGUUGUCCUUCCUUUCCACCCCAGACAGAGUAAGCCUA
rnacentral:lncRNA from 13 species